CCUGGGGUCACGGUGAGUGAGGGUGAACGAACAGUGCUGCUGCAUCCACGGAGAAUCCUGUGAGGGAGAGCCCCACAUGGAGACCUCUGAGCCCUUCAGCCGGCUGAGUUUUAAGGUUGUUUCUGAGAUUGGUAUUUUAAAGCAUUUUAAAGAUGCUAUCUAUGUCCAGGGCCAUCUCUGAGCAAGAGCCUUGUAAAAAUUAGGAUGGUCACAAGUGUUCUCCACGGCCCACCCACUGAAAACACAGGCAAGUAAUUUUUCAGUUGCACAAAGGAAACCUUCCUUUUGUGAGUAAAGCUCUUUUUCCGUUUUAUUCCAGGUAGCAUUUGGCUUGGAGGUAUGUGCUUUCCAUGGCUUUCAACUGUGUCCUUUAGGCAUUUCUUCAUUACAAGUUUUGUGUAGACUAAAGUUAACUCAGCUUUUGAGUUAACUCAGCUUUUGAGCUGUGGUACCUUCAGUUGCAGACCUGGCAUGAGGGGACAGGAUCUGAGUUUAGCAAACUGGGAGUUUAUCUGUGAAAAACACAAUUUCAGAGGAGACUUGUGAUAUGAAAUGGUCAACUCUGGGGAUGCAGGUAAAAAAAGAGGGCUCGUUCCUUCAUCCGACAGUGUUGAGAACAUUUGCUGUAACAUGGAAGGUACUUACCUCUGGGGUUCUUAAGAGAAAGCAAAGACAGCAGAACAUGAGCUCUGUGUGCUGAAGGAAGGCAGAGGGCAUUGCAGGAGAAGGGGCAGGAGGAAGAGGUGGCAAAGGGAGUCAGGCAUAUGAACAGAGACUCCGGGCAACCCCAGCCAGGAUGCCGUCCC
rnacentral:lncRNA from 1 species